rnacentral:rRNA from 1 species
AGCAGCCGCGGUAAUUCCAGCUCCAAUAGCGUAUAUUAAAGUUGUUGCAGUUAAAAAGCUCGUAGUUGAAUUUCGAGAUCAAAUUGUUGGUCGUGCCUAGGUACGUACUGGCAUUGUUGGUUUCUCCCUUCUGACGAACCAUGAUGUCAUUUAUUUGGUGUCGUGGGAAAUCAGGACUGUUACUUUGAAAAAUUAGAGUGUUUAAAGCAGGCUCACGCUUGAAUACAUUAGCAUGGAAUAAUGAAAUAGGACGUUUGAUUCUAUUUUGUUGGUUUCUAGGAUCGACGUAAUGAUUAAUAGGGAUAGUUGGGGGCAUUAGUAUUCAAUUGUCAGAGGUGAAAUUCUUGGAUUUAUUGAAGACUAACUACUGCGAAAGCAUUUGCCGAGGAUGUUUUCAUUAAUUCAAGAACGAAAGUUAGGGGAUCGAAGACGAUCAGAUACCGUCGUAGUCUUAACCA